GCCUGGAGGUGGUGCAUACCUACAAUCUCUGCUUCUGGGGGAGGCUGAGAUCUGAUGGAUUGCUUGAGCUCAGGAAUUCUGAGCUGCAAUUGGGUUCAAGCUAAUCAGGCGUCUAAGCUAAACCCAUAACCAGUAUGUCGAGCCCCUGAGAGCAGAGUCAUUCAGGUUCCCUAAGGAGGGGCAAACCAGCCCAGGUCAGAAAAACAGGAGCAGACUCAAGUUUCUGUGCCAAUCAGUAUGAGGACCAGACCCAUGAAUGGCCAUUGAAUUUCCAGCCUGGGCAUAAUAGGGAGCCUCAGUCUCA
rnacentral:SRP_RNA from 1 species